rnacentral:rRNA from 1 species
AUUGAACGCUGGCGGCAGGCCUAACACAUGCAAGUCGAGCGGAUGAAGGGAGCUUGCUCCUGGAUUCAGCGGCGGACGGGUGAGUAAUGCCUAGGAAUCUGCCUGGUAGUGGGGGAUAACGUCCGGAAACGGGCGCUAAUACCGCAUACGUCCUGAGGGAGAAAGUGGGGGAUCUUCGGACCUCACGCUAUCAGAUGAGCCUAGGUCGGAUUAGCUAGUUGGUGGGGUAAAGGCCUACCAAGGCGACGAUCCGUAACUGGUCUGAGAGGAUGAUCAGUCACACUGGAACUGAGACACGGUCCAGACUCCUACGGGAGGCAGCAGUGGGGAAUAUUGGACAAUGGGCGAAAGCCUGAUCCAGCCAUGCCGCGUGUGUGAAGAAGGUCUUCGGAUUGUAAAGCACUUUAAGUUGGGAGGAGGGGCAGUAAGUUAAUACCUUGCUGUUUUGACGUUACAAACAGAAUAAGCACCGGCUAACUUCGUG